CUACGGGGUGCAGCAGUGAGGAAUAUUGCACAAUGGGGGGAACCCUGAUGCAGCAACGCCGCGUGGAGGAUGACGCAUUUCGGUGUGUAAACUCCUUUUAUAUGUCAAGAAAAUGACGGUAGCAUAUGAAUAAGCACCGGCUAACUCCGUGCCAGCAGGCCGCGGUAAUACGGAGGGUGCAAGCGUUACUCGGAAUCACUGGGCGUAAAGGACGCGUAGGCGGGUUGGAAAGUCAGGUGUGAAAUCCUACAGCUUAACUGUAGAACUGCACUUGAAACUUCUAAUCUAGAGUAUGGGAGGGGGAGAUGGAAUUAGUGGUGUAGGGGUAAAAUCCGUAGAUAUCACUAGGAAUACCUAAAGCGAAGGCGAUCUCCUGGAACAUUACUGACGCUAAGGCGUGAAAGCGUGGGGAGCAAACAGGAUUAGAUACCCUCGUAGUC
rnacentral:rRNA from 1 species